rnacentral:rRNA from 1 species
GACGAACGCUGGCGGCGGGCUUAACACAUGCAAGUCGAACGGAAGGACCCAGCUUUCGUCUGGUGCCCGCGGGGCGAGGGGGUGUGUAACCCGGGAGUAACCUUCCCUUUACUUGGGGAUAACUUCAGAAAGGUGGGGCUACUACCUGAGAGCUGCGCCUGCUGCAGGGGGGGGUUCGGAACUCAUCGGCGGUUGUGGAUGGACUCCGGGCUUACCAGCUUGUUGGGGGGGUACCUGCAUACGAAGGCUUUGGCGGCUAGCCGGCCUGGGAGGGUGGACGGCGACAUUGGGACUGAGGUACGGCCCAGACUGCUACGGGAGGCAGCAGGCGGGAAUAUUGCACAGUGGGCGGAAGUCUGAGGCAGCAACGCCGCGUGCGGGAUGACGGCCUUCGGGCGGUAAACCGCUUUCGCCUGUGACGAAGCGUGAGUGACGGUAAUGGGUAAAGAAGCACCGGCUAACUACGUG